GAGGAGCCCGGCUCUGGACACGGCCGUCAGGAAGCUCAGAGGCUGCAGCACCGCUUCUGCGUUGAUUUCCGCUUGACUUUUACUCUUUUCUUGGGUUAAAAAUCAAACGCCGACCCGAGGCGUCAGAGAUGGGCGGUCGUUAGGCGCAGUGGCGGCCCCCGGAUGUUUGCGAUGGGACGGCGGGCUCGGAACGUGUGGACGUGGGCUUUGGAGACAGCGUCUCACCCUGUCGCCCAGGCUGGAGUGCAACGGCACAAUCUCGGCUCACUGCAACCUCCACCUCCAGGGUUCAAGCAAUUCCCCUGCCUCAGCUUCCCAAGUAGCUGGGAUUACAGGCACACACCACCACACCUGGCUAAUUUUUUGCAUCUUUGGUAGAGACGGGGUUUCACCAUGUUGGCCAGGCUGGUCUUGAUCUCCUGACCUCGUGAUCCAUCUGCCUUGGCCUCCCAAAGUACUGGGAUUACAGGCGUUAGCCACCGCGCCCUGCCUCACUAGUCUUUUCAAGAAAGAAGCUUUUAGAUGUGGAUUUAUUAUCUGUUAAUUCUCAUUUUCAUCUUCAUUAUUUCCUUUUUGCUACUUUUAUUUGGAUAUUUUCUAGGAUUCUUCCUAAUCUCUUGGGUUGGAUGCUUAACACUUACAUUUCCAUUGAUCCUGUUUUCCUAAUAGAGGCAUUUGGGGUAAUGCAUUUUCCAGUAAGUGCCACUUUAGAUUAUAUCCCAUUUUGUGUGGUGUCCUAUAUCAGUUAAACCCACCGUAUUCAUUGUAUAAAUCAAAUUUUUCAUAUACUUACUGUAUUAGUCCAUUUUCACGCUGCUGAUAAAGACAUACCCAAGACUGAGUAAUUUAUAAAGUAAAAGAGGUUUAAUGGACUCACAGUUCCAUGUGGCUGGGGAGGCCUCAUAAUCAUGGUGGGUGAAAGGCACUUCUGACAUGCUGGUGGCAAGAGAGAAUCAGAGCACCAAGCAAAAAGGAAACCCCUUGUCAAAUCACCAGAUCUCAUGAGACUUAUUCACUACCAUGAGAACAGUAUCAGGGAAACCACUCCCAAGAUUCAGUUAUCUCCCACUGGGUCCCUCCCACAAUAUGUGGGAAUUGUGGGAGCUGCAAUUCAAGAUGAGAUUUGGGUGGGGACAUAGCCAAAACAAGUUAUCUCCCACCAGGUCCCUCCCACAUGUGGGAAUUAAGGGAGCUGCAAUUCAAGAAGAGAUUUGGGUGGGGACACAGCCAAACCAGAUCACUUACCAAUUAUGUGCUGUCCUGCUCUAUCAAUUCCUAAGAAAAGUGUGCAAAAAUUUCCAAAUGGUAAUGUGGAUUUGUAGUUUAUUCCUCUAAUUGUCCUAUUUUGUAUAAUACAUUCUUUGGUCUAUGUUAAUUUGAAAUUUUGAACAUAGAAUCAUUAUAUCUUCAUAGAAAAUUGUACUUUUAUCCUUAUAUAAUGACCCUUUUUAUUCCUAACGAUGGUUUCCCUAAAGCUUAUGUUACCCAAUUAAUGUUUGCCAGGUAUAUAUUUUUCCACUCAUACUCACUUUUUAUAACAUUUUUAUGCAUUUAUUUUAUAAACAUAUACAUGGAAUAUUUUAAAGCAUAAUGCGACAUUCUGCUUUUAAACCGAUGAGUUUAUAUGAUUUGUGAUUAUUGAUACAGUUGGCUGGGUGCGGUGGCUCACGCCUGUAAUCCCAGCAUUUUGGGAAGCCGAGGUGGGCAGAUUACUAGGUCAGGAGAUCGAGACCAUCCUGGCUAACAUGGUGAACCCCCAUCUCUACUAAAAAUACAAAAAAUUAGCCGGGUGUGGUGGUGGGUGCCUUUUGCUCUUCUUGCCCAGGCUGGAGUGCGAUGGCGCGAUCUCAACUCACUGCAACCUCUUCCUCCCAGGUUCAAGCAUUUCUCCUGCCUCAGCCUCCUGAGUAGCUGGGAUGACAGGUGCCUGACACCACGCCCAGCUAAUUUUUGUAUUUUUAGUAGAGACUGGGGUUUCUCCAUGUUGGUCGGGCUGGUCUCGAACUCCUGACCUCAGGUGAUCCACCAGCCUCGGCCUCCCAAAGUGCUGGGAUUACAGGUGUGAGCCACCACGCCUGGCUCCAAUUUUUUUUUUUUUUUUUUUGAGACAGAGUUUUCACUCUUGUUGCCCAGGCUGGAAUGCAGUGGCACAGUCUUGGCUCACUACAACUUCCACCUCCCAGGUUCAAGCGAUUCUCCUGCCUCAGCCUCCCAAGUAGCUGGAAUUACACACACCCACCACCACAGCUGGCUAAUUUUUUGUAUUUAGUAGAGAGAGGGUUUCACCAUGUUGGUCUGGCUGGUCUGGAAUUCCUGACCUCAGGUGAUCUGUCUGCCUUGGCCUCCCAAAGUGCUGGGAUUACAGGCGUGAGCCACUGCACCCAGCGUCCCAACAUUUUUAUCUCUGAUCAUCCUGAACACAUACCAUGUUACUCACUGUUUUAGUUCUGCGUUAUUUUUGUUGCAUAACCAGUAACAUAACAUUAUUAUUGUUAGUUUACAUAGCCAAUACUAGUUUAGGUUCACAUGUAUUACCUCUUGGCUUCACCCACUACUUUUCUCUGAUGGCAAUCUUUGGAAGUUCCUUCAUUGAGGGUUUAUUAGUGGUAAACUCUUUAUCUUUGCUGUGGUGCAGUGUCUAGAAUUUUUGUUAAGUGAAGGUUUUACAUUUAAAUCUUCAUCUAUUAAGUUUGAAUAUGGGAUGAGUUAUGGAUUGAGGUUCAUUUGUUUUGUAUAUUGACUUUCAAUUGUUGCAGCACCAUUUUUUUAAACCACUAUUUUCAUUGAUUUGCCCUUGCAACUUUGUCAAAAAUCAAUUGACCAUAUACACGAAGGUCUAUUUAUGUAUUCUCAAUUAUGGUCCAUGAUCUAUGUGUUUAUCCUUUCUCUGACACAAUGUUUAGAUUGCUGUAUCUUUACAGUAAGUUUCGAAGUCAGGGAGUGCGAGUCUUCCAGCUCUGUUCCUCUUUGACAAAAGAUGUUUUGGCUAUUCUAGUUUCUUCUGCUUUUCCAAAUAAAUUUGAUUAACUUGUUAAUGUCUACAAAAACUCCUGCUGGAAUUUCCAUUGGGAUCGCAAUAAAUUUAUAGGUAAAUCUAGAGAGAACUGACAUUCUACUAUUUAUUGUUCCAAACCACAAAUAUGAUACAUAUUUCCAUUUAUUUAGGAUUUGGAUUUCCCUUAUUUCUCUCAUAAGCGUUUUGACGUUUUCAACAUACAGAUCUUUUAUAACAACACUUACCCACUUCCCACCAUUCUACCCCCAUUCCUAAACCUUGGCAACACAAGAAUCUGUCCUCCAUUAAAAAUGUUAUGAUUUCAGAAAUGUUAUAUAAAUGGAAUAAUACAAUAUGCAACCUUAUGGGACUGAUUUCUUGCAUUUGGUGUACUUCUCUAGAGAUUAAUCCAAGUUUUUGUGUGUAUCAGUAGUCCAUUUAUUUUCCUGAAUAGCAUUCCAUAUGUGUGUGCCACAAUUUGUUUAACCAUUUACCUUAUUCUCAGUUUUUGGCUGUUCAAAUAAACUGAUAUUAAUCUGUGUACAGGUUUUGGUGAGAAAAUAUAUUUAUCUGGGAUAAAUCCCCAAAAGUGCAAUUGCUAGGUUAUAUGGUAAUUUGAUGUUUAAUUCAUAAGAAACUGCCAAACUGUUUUCUAGAAUUGCUGUACCAUUUUCCACUCCCACUGGUAAUGUAUUAGUGAUACAGCUUCUAUGUACCCUCAACAUUUGAUGGUGUCACUAUUUUUUUUUUUUUUUUUUUUAGACAGAGUCUUGCUCUGUUGCCCAGGCUGGAGUGCAAUGGCGUGUCUUGGCUCACUGCAACCUCCGCCUCCAGGUACAAGCAGUUCUCUGCCUCAGCCUCCCGAGUAGCUGGGAUUACAGGUGCGCACCACCAUGCCUGGCUAAUUUUUGUAUUUUUAGUAGAGAUGGAGUUUCACCAUCUUGGCCAGGCUGGUCUCGAACUCCUGACCGCGUGAUCCACCCGCCUCAGCCUCCCAAAGUGCUGGGCUUACAAGCAUGAGCCACUGCACCCAGCCGCUGUCACUAUUUCUUUUCUUUUUUGAGACGGAGUCACGCUCUGUCGCCCAGGCUGGGGUGCAGGGACACAAUCUCGGUUCACUGUAAGCUCCACCUCCCAGGUUCACACCAACCUCCUGCCUCAGACUAUUUUUUACUUAAGCCAUCUUGAUAUCUUGAUAGGUGUGUAGUAGCACUUCAUUGUGAUUUGAAUUUGCGUUUCCCAAAUCACUAAUGAUAGUGAAUGUUUUUUCAUGUGCUUGUCAUCUGUAUGUUUUUCUCAGUGAAAUAUCUGUUAAUGUCUACUGCCCAUUUUAUAAUGUUUUUUUUUUCUUUUUUUUGGGAUGGAGUUUUGCUCUGUCACCCAGGCUGGAGUGCAAUGGCACAGUCUCGGCUCACUGCAAUCUCCAACUCCUGGAUUCAAACGAUUCUCCUGCCUCAGCCUCCCGAGUAGCUGGAAUUACAGGUGCAUGCCACCACACCUAGCUAAUUUUUAUAUUUUUAGUAUAGACGGGGUUUCACCAUGUUGGCCAGGAUGGUCUCAAUCUCUUGACCUCGUGAUCUGCCCACCUCGGCCUCCCAAAGUGCUGGGAUUACAGGUGUGAGCUACUGCGCCUGGCCUGCUGUACAGUUUUAAAGAUGAAUUACAUUGAUGUAUUUUGAAAUAUUCAACUUACCCUUACAUACGUGGAAUAAAUCCCACUUGGUCAUGGUGCAUACUUCUUAUAUAUUUUGAAUUUUGUUUUCAAAUAUUUUGUUGAGGAUUUUCACAUGUAAGUUCAUGACAGAUAUUGGCCUGUAGUUGUGUGUGUGUGCACACGUGUGCAUGCAGUCAUGCUGUCUUCGGUUUGUUAUCAGGGUAGUGUAAUACUGGCCUCAUAAAAUGAGUUGAGAGAUAUAUUCCCCCUCUUCUAUUUUUCUGGAAUAUCAUGUAAAGCUGAUAUAAAUUAUUCUUUAAAUGACUGGUACAGUUCUCCAUCUGGGCCUAGAGAUUUCUGUUUGGGUAGAUCAUUAGUAGUUCAAUUUCUUUACUGGAUAUAGGGCUUUUCGAUACUCAACUUCAUCAUGGGUGAGUUUUGGUAGUUUGUGGUUUUUAAGAAAUUAAUCCAUUUCUUCCAAGCUGUUGAAUUUAUAAGUGUGAAGUUGUUAGUAGAGAUCCUUUUUUAUUUUUGAUGUUGGCAAGGUCUGUAAUAAAGUAUUUCAUUUUUAAUACUGGUGAUUUGUAUCUUUUUAUUUCUGUCAAUGUUGCUAUAAGUUAAUCAUUUUUGUUAAUUUUUUUAAGAAUGAGCUUUAGUUGUCCUAUUUUCAAUCACUGACUUCAGUUCUUUAUCAUUUUCUUCCUUGCACUUGUUUUGGAUUUAUUUUGCACUUGUUUUUCUAGUUUCCUGAGGUAGAAACUUAAAUUACUGAUUUAAAAAUCUUUCCUUAUUUCUCAUGUACACGUUAGAAGGGUAAAAUCUACUUUUGUGUGUGUGUGUGUGUGUGUGUGUGUUUUUGAGACAGAGUCUUGCUCUGUCCCCCAGUCUGGAGUGCAGUGGCGCUAUCUCGGCUCACUGCAA
rnacentral:lncRNA from 1 species